AGUGUUCCAGGGAGGAGGAAAGGGACAGCAGUAACUCCUCUAGCCGCCCACCUGGGACGGGGCAGAAGGGCAAGUUCAAGGUCACACCCAGGCUUUAGUUUAAGCCUCUUCUCUUUGCCAGGUCUUGGAGGAAUUGGGAAUUUAGCCAAAACAAAGCUGCUUCAAAUACCCAAGGAAAGUGUCUGUUACUGACUUAAUAUCCCAGCACCCAAGAGAAGCCUUCUUAAUUACCCAUCACAGCCUCGGAGUCCAGGAAGGAAGGGUUGCACGCACGCUUUCACCUAGACCUUCCAGUGAUAAGAUCCAUGCUAAGCCAACCAGGGAAUAAGGUCUUCUCAAAGAAGGCUAGCUUUCAGUACUGCCAGGAAUAGGAUGAUUACUACCUGCUCCGGGAAGGCUGGGGUGCCAUUUCCCGGGCAGGCAGACCUGAGAAAGUUAACUGGUGGCCAUAAAUUGCUGCAUUACAGUUAAUCUAUUUACAGGUGCUUAGAUGUAGAUAAAAAUGUCAGUGUCUGAAUCUCUCCCUACCUCACACACUCGAGAGGAUAGAUACUUCUAGGGUGAGCAAACAUGAGCUCGUGUGCAGUUAGCUAAGGAAGAGUUUAAGAUAAAGUCCUGAGGAUUGACAGGCCGGCCCUGCUAAAUUUUGAUUUAAAAAAAAUAGAUAGCUCCUUCUCCAAAGAAGCUGUUUUUCUCCCUCUGAAGCUGACCUUACUAUGUAGGUACCUUCUUAGAGAUGACCCUCGAGCCUCUUAGGAAUGUCUGCCAGAAUUCUUCAAAACCCAUUUUCCAGACUGAGAUGGGAAAUUUGGUGCCCUUGAAAGCCAGAAGAUGCCAGAUCCCCUGGAGCUGGCUCAGGAGCCAUCCAACAUGGAUGCUAAGAACCAAACUCAAGUCCUUUGGGAAGAGCAGCAAGUGCUCCUAACCUCAGAGCCACCUGGGAAUUUCUUUUAAAAUUAAAACAUUGGAAGAUUGCUGUCUGGAAGGUGCGCUCAGGUGUUUCACAUCAGCAGAGCAGCACAUGGUCGCCCGCCUUCCUUCAACUCCCCUUUCUAGCAUUUGGGCCACUUCCAGGUUUCAAAGUGUGACAACAUGGGGACUUCAGAGCCACUUCCUCUUAUGACUAAACCCUCAGUGGCGUGAACAGGAGCCGCGGGAGCUGGUCUUCCCAGUCAGCUUGCCUGCCUGAGGACUUUGGUCUCGUCAGUCAAUUAGAGAAACUUCCUACAUAGCUGUGCUGGCCUCAAAGAUGACCCAUUUCUAACCAAGGAUUAGGACGUAGGAUGAAGUGGACUUUGCUUUGUGACUCUUGUUAGUGACAGCCUUGUCAAGGAGGUGCCUCACCCAAGUCACAUUUGAAUAUGCGUAGAGUUUAUUCUUGGCGAAGAAUAAACUUGUGGAUCUGGCCGUGCC
rnacentral:lncRNA from 1 species